rnacentral:rRNA from 1 species
UACGAAGGGGGCUAGCGUUGCUCGGAAUCACUGGGCGUAAAGGGCGCGUAGGCGGAUCUUUAAGUCGGGGGUGAAAGCCCAGGGCUCAACCCUGGAAUUGCCUUCGAUACUGUUUGGCUAGAGACCGGAAGAGGUAAGUGGAACUGCGAGUGUAGAGGUGAAAUUCGUAGAUAUUCGCAAGAACACCAGUGGCGAAGGCGGCUUACUGGUCCGGUUCUGACGCUGAGGCGCGAAAGCGUGGGGAGCAAACAGG